UACUCAGUUUGAACAUUUGAAUAAUCAAACUUCAUUUAUUUGUUAAAACAAAUAUGUGCUCCACAUCUUAAAACAAAAUAUUUAUUCUUCAAAUGUUCAAACUGAGUAUGCUCAACUUAAUAGCCAAACAAGGUGACAUCAAAGAUCGGGAUACUUAACAUCAUCAUAGAUGCAUAAAAGAAUCUAUUCUUCUGCAACAACACUUAUUUCGCCUUUUUCUAGCAAGUCAUAGAACGCUCUCGCCUUCCUCUGCUCAUUCCAGUGAUGCAUCUUCCAAAGACCACCAGCAGCCAAGCCAAGUGCAAUACCCAUACAGAUCUCCUUGACAACACUUGGCCCUUUCAAGGUGGCAUGAGCAAUUCUACCAGCAGCCAUUCUGCUUCUCUAAACUAAAUGCUAAUUAACCGAGAUCGCUUGACGUGAGAAACACUCGAUUCGACUUGUGAGGGAAACUCU
rnacentral:misc_RNA from 1 species